rnacentral:lncRNA from 1 species
UGAACUGAGGAACUGGCUCACAGUUCCUUCUCUUUGGAGGCCUUAUUUUUGCCUUCAUCCGUUAGGAAGUCUCCAAGAAAGGCCCAGGAAGAGGGUAGGCACUAUAAGACAAGCAGGAUGACAGAACAAGGAGGACUCUGAGAUUGUUUCUCCUAUUGCCUUGAAAGUGCUGGCUGGUCUUCUUCAACCACUCCCCAUGUCCCAACCCCCACCCCCACACUCACCAGUGUGUAUAGACAUGGGCAGAGGAUAACUAGGCUCCACCCUAAACUGGAGCUCACUGAGUGUCACCAGCUACUUGGGCUUUAUCUCUGCUCUCCUGGAUUCUGCCCUCCUUUCUCCUGGACUUCUGAGCCUGGCAGUCCCUUCCUGGCUCAGCUAAGUCUAGGCUUCUCCUAUCCAAUGUCCAGAACUUACAGGGCUCAUUAGACUACAAACACAUCAAGGGCAGGUGGCACACCUUGCUCCUCUCUCACACCCCUGCCCCCACCUCCACCAUGCAUCUCCAGCCCCUGGUGUCUGGCACAGAACAUGAGUGGCACAAAACAGGGAUCUGGGGUAAAGAAAUGAAUGUCCUUUUCGCCUGGCCAAAGACUUGGUGCCUGGCCCUUCGUGGCUUUCUUGCUCCACUGCAGCAAGAAGAGGCAUUUGACAGUCUGCAAAACUAUUCCUGCAUUACUCACAUUAAAGUUUAAAUACCUAAAUGCUGUCUCUCUGUAGAAGCCAGAAACCCAUUGAGACGGAUGAUUUGAGGUUUCCCGACCAAAAACUGCAGAGGCUCACUGUUGCUUCCCCAGACUUACUGUUAUUAACAGAUCUGGCGACAAGAUGGGAUUCUUCUGUCGUAAGAUGCCUCUGAUGAAAAAUUUUCAAAAAUCACCAGGUGAUGAAGGCAGUAGCCUGGGACCAAAUAGGGAAUCUUAUGGCGCUCCCCCCCCACACACAUCUCCAUAUUCUAGGUUGUCUCAGUUCUUCAGACUCCUGGUUUCUUUUAACAUCUCCAUAUUCUUAAAAAUGAAUUCAAUAAAGAAUUCUAAAAUUUG